CUCCCAUUGCCGCAAGCUUGUCCUUCGCGAUCGUCCCCCUCUUCAGGCAAUCGACCACCGAUGUCUCCCCUUUCUUGAUGUUGUGUAAUUCAGAACGCAGAUGAAGCAAUCUGGUCUCGGAAUCGGAAGAGUACAUUUCGUUCAGUGAUACCCAUACCUCCGCGGAUGUCGUGAGAACUGCAACUUGCGGUAGAACCGUCGGCAAGAGUGAUGUCAAGAUCCAGCUGAGAUUCAACUGGUCUUAUUGUUCAUUGGCCAAGCCCGGAAUUAGUUCUACCUCUCCGUUGAUGAAGUCCAGCAGAAAAAGUUCUCUUCGGUCAAGGUAACGUAUUUAAUCUGCUUCGUGGUGAUUGCUCUCCUCGAUGCUUUCUCCCUCCGUCUACAUGAUAAUGUGCGCAGCGGACUGUGGAUCUUUCGAGGGUGAAAAACCACCCUCAUCUGUCGAUGAUACCAUAUUGGAACAGAAGAAGAAGAUAAGAGGAAGCUCGUCAGGUGGAAGAAGAUUC
rnacentral:lncRNA from 1 species